AUGGACAUCGCCCCCUGCUGCUCAUCAUCAUCAUCAUCAUCAUCAUCACCAUCAUCAUCAUCAUCAUCAUCAUCAUCUCAUGCUGCGCCCAGUUUCCGGCCUCUGUCUCAUCUACGUCCACGCUCCUGCCGUCUCGCCUCCAUCGAGACGAGUGCCUCAGCUCCGCAUCAGCCAACGACCUCCGUCCCCGUCACAAACGUCCGUUCCCCCGAGGGGCCGUCUCAAUUUCAAACGAUGUCCCCGUAUCGCUUUCUAAUCAUGCCUCUGGAGAGAGAAGGCGCAGGCCGAAGCGCAGGGAUCGUGUUCACCUUCUGUUCUGAAAAGCAGCCGACAGAGCACCGACCUCAGCCCACGCUCCACACACUGCAACUUGGACAACAGAAGCCUGCAUGAAUGUUGACGUCCGUUCGUCCGUUCGUCCAUUUGUUCGUUCAUUCGUUCGAUCGUUCAUUUGUUCGAUCGUUCAUUCGUCGAUCGUUCGAUAGUUCGAUCGUUCGAUCGUUCGAUCCUUGUGCUUCUUGCAGCUGACGAACAAACUCCAGUUGUCAGACAACAAAACAUGGAGGAAUGGCAGAAAAGGCACCGAUCAUCCAAUGGUGGAAUUUUGGAUCACAAAAAAACCCCACAACUAAUAAACAGAUCAGAUGUAAAACUUUCUGGAUUAUCCAAAUGAGUACUUCCAUUGGCCCCCACCCUUUAUUGACCUCUACUGACCUCGCAGGAAUCAAAAAAAGGUAUUUCCAGUUGUUGGUGGGAGGUUCAAACCCUCAAGCGUUUCACGUGAAAAGCGUCACACAAAUUGUCUCUAAGAUACGACGGAGUAUUGGGGCCACAUCGAGGGACCGAAGAAAUUGGAGACUUUGAGAACAAAGUGGGAAAGUUAUGAGAAUAAAUUCAUAACAAUACGAAAAUAAAGUCGUACUAUUACAAGAAAAACAAAAGGCAUAAUAUUGCACGAAAAAAGUCGUAGAUCUACUAGAAUAAAGUCGUACUUUUAUGAGAAUAAAGUCGAACUACUUUGAGAAUAAAGUCGUAAUAUUACGAGAUGCAGUGUCAGUGUCGGUGAUGCUCAGCUCCUCUCCUCCGUCUGAACACGUCACACGACCCGCCGCUGGACAGAGACGGAGCGGAGACAUCUCAACUACAGUAACAACAAUUACAUGAACGUCUCUUAGAGGACAAAUGUUGCUUAUUAGUGUGAGGUUGUCUGCGUGUGUGCGUGUGUGUGUGUGUGUGCGCGAGAGGAACGAGAUGUGAGAGAGUCGUUCGUUUUUUAAUCUGUAAUAAUUCACAGCAGCAAACUUCAAGCUCGGGGGGCCAUUAGCCCGUCUGUAAAAGAUCAUUAUAACCAUCCACUUGCAUUAUGUGCAACUCGGGCACACAAGCCCGGCCCACGCACACGCCGAGGCUGCGGAGAUUGACACAAACACACGCACACACACACGCGCAGCAAAAAAUGAGCAUAACAUAGGGCUGUGUGUGUUUGUGUGUCGGUCCGUUUCCUUCAUCAUCAUGGAGACACAGAUGUCCGACAUGGUCAUAUUCACGGCGGUAAAAGCUGCUGAAGACAUUAUGUCCUAUGGACUGUGUGUGUGUGUGUGUGUGUGUGUGUGUGUGAGCAUCUGCUCUGUUUAUGUAGAUUAAUGUCUCCCUCGGUUUGUUUUCUAACCAUCUCUGUGCAUCUACAUCUGAUUUUUGUCUUUUUCUGAAUAUAUAAUACACACACACACACACACACACACACACACAAAGUCCUUUCCCCAAAAGACCCACGUCACCAUGAGAAAGGGAUGAAACAAUGACAGAGGAACAGAAAAACAAAGUGUGUUUUGUGUCCUGAGGGUUUAUUAUGUUGCAGCCACAUUAAUAAAAAACAUCAGAAUCCCGAGUUGACUGACAGAUUCUCUGAUGGAUUCAAAUUCACCCUCUGGUCUGUUUGUUUGUUUGUUUGUUUGUUUCCG
ensembl:lncRNA